rnacentral:rRNA from 1 species
UACUCCUACGGGAGGCAGCAGUAGGGAAUCUUCCACAAUGGACGCAAGUCUGAUGGAGCAACGCCGCGUGAGUGAAGAAGGUUUUCGGAUCGUAAAGCUCUGUUGUUGGUGAAGAAGGAUAGAGGUAGUAACUGGUCUUUAUUUGACGGUAAUCAACCAGAAAGUCACGGCUAACUACGUGCCGCGCCGCGGUAAUAGA